rnacentral:rRNA from 1 species
UACGUAGGAUCCAAGCGUUGUCCGGAUUUACUGGGUGUAAAGGGUGCGCAGGCGGACUGGUAAGUCAGUAGUGAAAUCUCGGCGCUCAACGCCGAAACGUCUUUUGAUACUGUCAGUCUUGAAUAAGCGAGAGAUCCGUGGAAUUCCGAGUGUAGCAGUGAAAUGUGUAGAUAUUCGGAAGAACACCAGAGGCGAAGGCAGCGGGUUGGCGCUUUAUUAACGCUCAGGCACGAAAGCAUGGGGAUCAAACAGG